AUGAACCAAUACACUAGAAUUCAAGCCUUAAACGAGAACAUCAGUAGGGAGCGUGAAGGAUUUGAGGAAAUCCCGUUUCACCAAGUCAUAUCUGAGCCCAGUACUCAGAGCCUUGACACUGAAUUCAUGUUUCCCUCUGUCAGUGAUGCAGUUAAACAGCAAAUCCAAGAANAUCAAAUUCAGACUUUUCAGCAAGAUGAAAGAGAUUUGAUUGAACUUGUGAAAGGCAAUUUAGCAGUUCAGAGCAACGACCUGCAGGGAGAAAAAGUAAGAUUACACGAGGAAUGGCAUCAUCUCGAGCAGGCAAAACUCCAAAUGAAAGAGGUUUAUGAAAACCUACAGGAGGAAAAUGAGAAACUGAAGACACACAUAAAGGAUAUCGAGAGAGCCAAAGCAGACGCUGAUAGAGAGAUUGAAAACAUGAAAAUUCAACUGGAAGCAGAUAAAACGUUGUUUGAACAGACGAAGAAAAGCUCAGAGCUGGAGCUUGUAACUAUGAGAGAAGCUUUGGAUGAUGAGAAACGUCAGCUUGACUGUGAGAAAACAGAGUUUGAGAAAACAAAGACUGAAUCACAGCAGGAGAUAAGAGACAUCAUUCAAAUGCUGAAUGAUGAGAAAAUGGAUCUAGAAAUUAGAAUUGGACAUCUGCACGAAGAAAAAUCUGAGUUUGAACAGAAAAAGACUGAAGCUGAACGGGAGAUAGAAGACACCAUUCAAACGCUGGGUAAGGAGAAAAUGUAUCUAGAAUUUAGUACUGGAUGUCUAAAGGAAGAGAUAUGCGAGCUGGAAGCCAGAUCCCAGCUCAUGGACAAGCAGGAGGCUACCCUUGAGGAGGAAAGGCGGGAACUUCAGGAACAAACGGUUAAACUAAACGAUGAGAAAAGGAAACUAGAGGAAACAAAAAUCAAAUUGGAUCAGGUCUACGACAAACUGCUGAAAGGUAAAGCUAAACUGAAGAAAAACAUCCAAAAGUUUAAGACUAACAAAGCAGAAAUGCAGCAGAUGAUGGGAAGUCUAGAAGAACAGAAAAAGGUGUUCGACGAGACGAAGAAAAGCUCUGAGCAGUAGAUCAGAAACAUGAGCUAUUCAUGGAGACAGAGCAGCUGGUGAGUGAACUGAAAUGCAAAACAAAUUACUGAAUUAAUUUAGCUGCACACAGGCUGCUUUACACAGCAGCUCUUGGUUCAGCAGGUUACGUCUAAAGCCGGGCGGACACGGUGCGACUUUUUCACUUUUUUGAGCCGAUUUUCCACUCGUGCAAGAAUCCACGAGAUCGGGGCGAGUUUUGCGCCGAGCGGCGUGUAGUGUACAGGGGGUCACGAGAGGCGAUUAACACCACGUGACCAGCUGCCGAUCAGCAAGCGUGAGCUCGCACGGACUUCUGGCGUGUUUAAAAUUUCGCUCGUCCCUCGUGAGAGUAUUGCACUGUUGAAGUGGCGCUGCGAGCAGCUGCGACCCAAAAAGUAUCAGAACCGCUCACGGCGCAUGCGCAAUCAUGCAUCAACGCCGCUCGCCCGCUAUUUCCCUAAUAACACACGCUGUUCGUUUUUAUUUCUACACGUUUU
rnacentral:lncRNA from 1 species